GUGAUGAUGAUGAUUCAAGAAAAAGGUGGCACAGGAGUAUCUUAGAAGACAGGAGAAGAAAGAGACUACGGGAGAAGGAGGAAGACCUGGCUGACAGACUCAAAGAAGAGGAGGAAAUUGCUCAGGCUAAGAGCAGGGCUGAGGAGGAAAGAUUACAGCCGCAAGAGAGAGAUGCUUUAAAGCUUUCAUCUGAUCUUGUCAUGAACGGAAGUGAAAAGAAAAUUCUGGCUGAAGAAGCCAUCACUGAAAGCAAAGAUAAGGUUGUUGAACAGGAUAAUGAGGGAGAUUCUGGUAAUGAAAACCGCACAGAUGAUGGGGUUUUACAAAAUGGUACUAUUGAUGAAUCAACCAUGACAUCAAUGACUGAAUCGGAUUUACGGCGAAGUGGUAAUGUGCCUACAAGA
rnacentral:misc_RNA from 1 species